rnacentral:tRNA from 1 species
AGCUCGUCGGGCUCAUAACCCGAAGGUCGUAGGUUCAAAUCCUGCUUCCGCAACCA